AUGCACUUAGCUCAGUGGUCAGAGCACCCUUCUAGACUUCUGGGAAAACUGGACAUGGGUUUGAGUCCCGUAGUGCACA
rnacentral:tRNA from 1 species